CUCACCGCAUCACACUUCCCCUUCAUCUUCAUCUUCAUCUUCACCACCGUUCGCCCGCCGUUCGCCUCACCGCUGCACCGCCACGCCGCUGCACCUCCUCUCCGCCGCUGCUCAGAUCCAACGCCCUCCUCUCCGCCGCUGCUCAGAUCGGACGCCAUUCUCUCUGCCGCUGCUCACAUCGGACGCCGGGGACGCCGCUGCUCACAUCGGACGCCGGGGACGCCGUGACGCCGGUCGCUCUCUCCUUCGACUCUCCACGCUGGUGUAUGACUGCAACAAACAUGAUGAGUAGAAAGAAACAAAAUCGUCCACCAAAAUGGUUCGUGUGCUAUACAAUUGGGAACCACCGAAUGUGGUUAUUAUGUGAUGAAGUUCAUGUUGGAAAUUAUUUCCAACAACCUAAGUAAAGGAAUUGA